AAAAGGCUUAGAACAUUUAAUUGAAUAAAAUCAAACUGACAAAGGGUUUGAAAGGCAAAGAGCACAAGAACUUAUCACGAUAAAACAUGAGAUAAGAUCCCUAGGCCAGUUAUCUAAAAGACAAAGAAAAACCUUUUACGAUUUUGUAGAAAAUUUAAAAC